rnacentral:rRNA from 1 species
CCUUUGUACACACCGCCCGUCGCUACAACCGAUUGAAUGGCUUAGUGAGGCCUUCGGACUGUCCCAGGGAGGUCGGCAACGACCACCCAGGGACGGAAAGUUGGUCAAACUUGGUCAUUUAGAGGAUGUAAAAGUCGUAACAAGGUUUCCGUAGGUGAACCUGCGGAAGGAUCAUU